CCUACGGGAGGCAGCAGUGGGGAAUAUUGGACAAUGGGCGCAAGCCUGAUCCAGCCAUGCCGCGUGAGUGAUGAAGGUCUUAGGAUUGUAAAGCUCUUUCACCGGAGAAGAUAAUGACGGUAUCCGGAGAAGAAGCCCCGGCUAACUUCGUGCCAGCAGCCGCGGUAAU
rnacentral:rRNA from 1 species